rnacentral:rRNA from 1 species
ACUAAAAAACUAGCUCAAACAACACAACAACCCACCCAAUAUAAGCCAAUUUCAAAAGAACAAAAACCAUAAAUUAAAUCAUUUGACCUCCCCAGUAAGGGCGACUGAAAAGGAAAAUUGAAGCUAUAGACACAGUACCGCAAGGGAAAGCUGAAAGAGAAAUGAAAAAAAUCACUCAAGUAAAUAAAAGCAGAGACUAUCCCUCGUACCUUUUGCAUCAUGAUCUAGUCAGUUUACCCAAGCAUAGAGAACUCUAGUUUGACACCCCGAAACCUGCACGAGCUACUCCGAGACAGCCUUCUGGGCCAACCCGUCUCUGUGGCAAAAGAGUGGGAAGAGCUCUGAGUAGAGGUGAAAGACCUAUCGAGUCAGGUAAUAGCUGGUUGCCCGAGAAAUGAAUAGAAGUUCAGCUCCGCCGCACCCCCAAUCCAAAAGUUCAACUUACAAAGACCACGGGCUAGUGAUGGAAGUUAGUUAGGGAGGGUACAGCUUCCCUAACAAAGGACACAACCUUACCAGAAAGCUAAGGGAUACAUCCAACUCAAGGCUACAGGCUUCAGUGGGCCUGAAAGCAGCCAUCUGAAUAGAAAGCGUUAAAGCUCAAACCUCUCCUAGCCUAUCAUUUUAUUAACCUCCCCUACGCUCCUAAAAAUAUCGAGCCCUUUUAUGUACCUAUAAAAUAUACCAUGCUAGAACGAGUAAUAAGAAGAAUGACCUUCUCCAAGCACAAGCGUAAGUCGGAUCGGACUCUCCACCGACAAUUAACGGCCCCAAAAACAGAGGGACCUGCACCCAGCCCCCAAAGCAAGAAAAACACACAUCUUCACCCCGUUACCCUUACACAAGAGUGCAUACCUAAAGGAAAGACUUAAAGGAAGAAAAGGAACUCGGCAAACUUAAACCUCGCCUGUUUACCAAAAACAUCGCCUCCUGCCCACCCCCGUAUAGGAGGUCCCGCCUGCCCCGUGACUAAAGUUUAACGGCCGCGGUAUUUUAACCGUGCGAAGGUAGCGCAAUCAAUUGUCUUUUAAAUGAAGACCUGUAUGAAUGGCAAAACGAGGGUUUAACUGUCUCUUUACCCCAGUCAAUGAAACUGAUCUGCUCGUGCAGAAGCGAGCAUGCCUACGUAAGACGAGAAGACCCUAUGGAGCUUUAAAUGUUAACCAACUCUCAAACAAGGACACAAUAAAUGCCCUAAGAAAACAGAACUAUGGCACAAACAUUUUCGGUUGGGGCGACCGCGGGAAUACAAUAAAACUCCCGAGUGGACAGGGACAAACCCCUGAAACCAAGAACUACCGUUCUAAGGCACAAAAAUUUUGACCAACAAUGAUCCGGCCAAGGCCGAUCAACGGACCAAGUUACCCUAGGGAUAACAGCGCAAUCCUCUCCCAGAGUCCAUAUCGACGAGAGGGCUUACGACCUCGAUGUUGGAUCAGGACAUCCUGAUGGCGCAGCCGCUAUCAAGGGUUCGUUUGUUCAACGAUUAAAGUCCUACGUGAUCUGAGUUCAGACCGGAGUAAUCCAGGUCAGUUUCUAUCUACGGAGCCUUCCUUCCUAGUACGAAAGGACCGGAACGAAGAGGCCAAUACUUCAAGCACGCCUCACCCCCACCUAAUGAAAACAACUAAAUUAGCCAAAGGGGGGCCCACCCCGGCCCAAGACAAGGGCCAU